GUUCAUCCUUUGAGCCAUUUAACAGCGGAAAAUUCAAUGAUUACAGAAAUAUUUACGUGCAAGUGUUUGACAGACAAUGGUGCAUGGUUAAACAUUAUGUUAUAUAGGUCUCUAUGCCCGACCUCUUGUUAGUUCCCUAAAAGUCUUCACUAGAUCCUUCUGUUUACGAUGUAUGUGGUCCUGUAGUUUACCAUGAUAACAUAAUGGAUUUAAAAAGCGUUAUUAUCUGUCAGUUGAAUAGUUUUUUCUGAGAAGAAGACACAGACUGUAAGAGAUUCUAGAGAUGUAGCGAUAUGAAUACUUCUAACAUAGUUUAUGUAACUGUAAUAUAGAUUUUGUAAAUGUAAUCAAUAUAACAGGAUUCUUACACUGCAUGGAACCAAGUAUUUUGUGGCUAUAGAUAUUUUACUGCUUUAGUAGCCGCUAUGGAAUGUUAUUGAUAUCAUGAAACAAAUAUAUUUACAUUGUGUAUUCAACCGGUUUGUUUCCUCGAUAAUUUGAUAUUUCUUUUUUUUUUCUUUUUUCUUACAUUCCUUUCAUUCCGUUUUUUACUGUUCUUCAUUUCACAUUAUUAUGUAAAUUCGUUUUCAUUUGUGUUUUCAGUAUUUAGGUUUUGUUCUUUAUAUAUAUGUAUAUUUCAUUUAUCAUUUUAUUUUUCUUCUCAUUGAAUCUAAGAACAAAUAUAUCAUUUUACGUUAAAGAAGCUUAUAAUAAGAGACUCUGUUAAAUAGUAUUGCUAUUGCAAUAUUUUCUAUCUAAUAUUUUCACAUUAUACGAUUACGUAAAGUUUAAUUUUCCAAUGCUUAAAUUAAUUUGAACACGAUAAAAUGGACAGGUUUAUUUCCUACUACCACAUUGCGUUAAUGUUUGUAAUAAUAACUGCAUGUGGGAGCCUCAUUUUCAAACAACAUUUAAAAUAACUGCUCUAAAGUUUAAGAUACAAAAUAAUGCGUUAUUUUCAUUUCGUAGAAUAAUUCUCGUUAACACUAAAAUCUGGAUAACUAACUAAAAUAAUAAAGGAAAACCUUACAGAAUAAUUCCUUUGGAAUUUCUUAAUUUAAGAAGCGGAUAACUCACAUAAUCUUGAGAACUGGAUACAUAAAGCGGCAUUUAAAAAAAACGGGAUGUUAAAUUGACAUUUUGGCUCGAGCGCGUGCUAUAUUAUUUUUACAAUGACAUUUUAUACACCAAAUGCAUACAUGCUGCAUAGAUCUAUAUUACUAAUAUAAAUUGUGUUUUUUAUAAUAUUUUAACUUUUUACAUCUGUUCGAAUACUUGUGACGAGAAAACCUGUGACACAAUGAGAAGAUAUGUUCAUGUUUUGUGGAUUUUAUAUCUGAUGCAACUGAUAUGCACGUGCCAGGCGAAAAAACAUCGCAGUAAAGCACGUGACAAAAUACAAAAAUCACAUGCAAAAGAAGAUGAUCUAGCAGCACGUGCAUCCAUGUUUAUAAAUGAUGUAUUCCAUAAAAUAUGUCUGCCUUCAGGAUCUAAUAGACUGGUUUACAGAUACCAAAAUGAUUCUCAUAUAUUCAUAGGAUUUGAUGACGUAAAUCAGGAUACAGUCUAUUCAAUGACAUGGAAAAUUAACGAAGUAAAUCCAGAAGCGUUAACUAGCAAUAACCGGAAUAGGUUCAAGGCGCUUCCAGCAUCCCAGGUCCGGAAACGCGUGAAAACUGAGCAUUUAUUGGCGGCAGCUGAUGAAAAACUGCAGGACAAAUUCCGUGAGCGUAUUUCCACGUGCAGUCAGUCAAGGAUUACCUCAAGGGCGUGCGUAAUACAGUCGUUUGCUGUUCUGGCAAGGAAGAUGAAGGAAGUUACUUUUGGAGAGACCUGUGUUAAAUAAAAUCACCUGCAGACGCAUACAUUUUAAACCUGUGUUACCAAGUGAAUCUGUGAUCAUAUUUCUUGUGUACCUAACUGAAAUAUGAAAUGAAGUAUAAACUUACUUUAUGGAACAUUAAAAAAAUAACCUGUUUUUCAUAUACCUGGUUCAGCUGUUCACUCAACGACACAUACGAGCUCACAUUUAUCAAAGUUAUCGUGAAACUGAUGUUGUUUCUCUUUUUGUAGUCUUCUGAACAGUGCAAUAAAUAAAUACAAAUAUAAUUAUCAUCGGUUCAUAGAGCUUAUACGCGUGGUUCUGUUCUUCUGUCUGAAGAUUUUAGCAUCAAAGUAAUUAAUGUAUAUUUUGUGAAAUUUUAUAUACUUGUAAUUGCUCUUGAAAUGUAAAGUGUUUAUCUGUAUCCGACAAACAUCAAAACUACAUAUUCAAAGAGCAUUUGCUAAUGUAACAGGUGAGAGAUUACAUAAACAAAAGAUGUAAAACAUACCUCAAAGUUGUAAAAUUAAAACAGACCAUUAUUUCUGCUUACAACACCUGCCGAAUAAUUUAUAAGCAUUAAUAAAGAUUUAAAUUUGAAUACAUGUUUCGUUGACCGUUUCUAAAUGUUAUUUAUGUGAGCAUUGUUAAUUUUAUUGGUGUUAUGUGAUUUUUAUAAAUCGAAACGUGUGACAUAAAAAAUGUUCACCCCUUGAAAUAAGAAUAUAGACAUAAGCGUCAUAUAAAGUAAUAAGGAAAUAUUCAUAUAAAUAAUAAAAUAUAGUAUAUAAUAAUAUAUAUAUAUAAUAAACAAAGUUUUUACCUGAAUAGAGCGAUUUUCCAUGUGGGUACGAUGCCGAAAAGCCACUUGGGUUAGCAACCACCCUGUCAACAAUAUUAUAUAACUUCUGCAUUCCUGAGAUGCUGAUAUGAAAAGUAUUCACCUCUAGAAAUCGGCCGAGGCGUUAGAUUUGAACAUUUUUAUAUCACCCUCUCAAGAAUACAUUUUUUUUACAAAGAAAACAUAUGAAGGUUAAAACAUUUCCUGGAAAAUAAAAAAAAAUGAUCUAUUAAAUAAUCAUGAUAUUUAUCAUUAAAAUAAGAAAUUAUCAUUAAAAUAAAGACAUUACUACAAAUGUAAAGGAGCCUUGCUUGUCCAAUAAAGACUACAGAGAACACUCAGACAUUGUGUCGACUUUGCUGUAAGACUAUUUUUGUUAAGUGAUAAUCUUGUCUGACAUUUCACAAACGAUCAAAAGGACGAUAAUCCUAAUAUUUAUCAAUUCAAUCAAUUUAAUUAUUUUAGCCGAGACGUUCACAUAUUGACUAACCCAUACUUUUUUAUAUUUAUGCACGUAUUUCAGCGUUGCUUCAGUGCCGAAACCGACCGCAGUAACAUUCUAGAAACGGUGAUAAAAGUAUGAGCAUAACUUUCCUUAGUAAGAUUAUUUCAUAUUCGAUAAUCAUAUGCCGUAAACACUACACAGUAAGCAGUUCUCAUUGACCUGUGAACACAUUUCUCACUGAGCAAUACUCACGGAGCCGUACCUAUUCACUGAGCAGUACUUGCGGUGCCGUGAACACUACUCACUGUGCAAUCACUGAACAGUAUGAUGCCGUAAACACUAGCCGUGAUUACUUCUCACUGAGCUGUUCUCACGGUGCCGUGAACACUACUCACUGAGCAAUACUCAUGUGGCCUUAAACACUAACUGUGAUUACAACUCACUGAGCUGUUCUCAUGGUGCCGUGAACACUACUCACUGAGCAAUACUCAUGUGGCCUUAAACACUAGCUGUGAUUACUACUCACUGAGCUGUUCUUACGGUUUUGGGCUCGCUUCCUUUAAGAUGUUCGCCACCAAUAAAAUCACAUCGUUGAAUGUUUACACUCUAUAAUAUUUUUACACAAACGACAUGUCAGUCACUGUGUUCGACCUCUAAAGAGUUACCACUUCCUUCUAUUUCUGGAAUGUGUACCCCUGUGGUCUACUAAAAUAACUCUAUUGUUCAGUAACGCUUUAUUGUCAUUGAAGUGAGUAAUUUGUCUGCGAAGAAGGCGCAGACUGUGUAUUAUUCUUGGGAUGUGAGUAUACGUAUAGUUAUAACAUAGUUAGUUCCAUUAAUAUUUUGAAAAUUAGCUGCACGAAGACGCUUUUCAUAGCAAACUUAAUGUGAUCUUAUUCGACAUUUUAGCUAGAUCACAUGCCAAUUUUUUUUUUACAAUGACAUUUAAUGCAUUAAAUGCACGCAUGCUGCACAUGCGGUGCUUUUUAUAAUGUGUUAAUGCUAGAUCUGUUGAAUAUUUAUGACGUGACAAGAUAGAAAAUUUAUAAUAAGAUGAAAAGAUAUGUUCAUGUUUUAUGGAUUUUAUGUCUGAUGCAACUGAUAUGCACGUGCCAGGCAAGGAAACAUCGCAAAAAAGCACGAGACAAAAUACAAAAAUCAAGUGCAAAAGAAGAUAAACUAUCAGCACGUGAUUCCGUGUCUUUAAAUGAUGUACUGCACGAAAUAUGUCUGCCUUCUGGAUCCGACAGACUGGUUUACAGAUACCAAAAUGAUUCCCAUAUAUUCAUAGGAUUUGAUGACGUAAAACAGGAUACAGUCUAUUCAAUGUCAUGGAAAAUUAACGAAGGUAAUCCAGAAGCGUUAACUAGCAAUAACCGGAAUAGGUUCCAGGCGCUUCCUGCAUCCCAGGUCCGUAAACACGUGAAAACUCAGCAUUUAUUGGCGGCAGCUGACGAAGAGUUGCAGAACAAAUUCUGUGAGCGUAUUUCUACGUGUAGUCAGUCAAGGAUUACCUCAAGGGCAUGCGUAAUACAGUCGUUUGCUGUUCUGGCAAGGAAGAUGAAGGAAGUUACUUUUGGAGAGACCUGUAAUACAUAAUACCACAUACAAACGUACGCUGCUUUUCAGACCUGUGAUUCCAAGUGCAUAUAUGGAGAUAUUUCGGAAUUAGAAACUUCGAUCAUUUUGGGGUUUUUCCCCCACUGAACUGUAUUGAAAUAUUAGUAAAGUAGAAACACAUUUUACGUUACAUUCAAACAAAAUGAUACCUUUUGCAUAAAAUUGAAGUGUUCAAUCAAAAUCACAUACAGUUUUCACAUUCAUCAUACUUAUCAUAUGAAACUUAUCUAGAAACUAACGUUGUCUCUUCAUCUGUCUUUUUUUCUUUCCAGUGCAAUAAAUCAUUACGUUGUUUACAGGUAACUUAUGUUUAUUUAACAUUUUACGUAAAGGUUCAUAGCCUUUGUGUUUGUGCCGUUUCGGUCUCCGAAAAGUUGUUGAUUCUAGCAUCAAGGUAAUUGAUGUAUAUUUACAUCGUUUUUAGCUCAUCUGAUUUUUUGAAAAAAAAUGAUGAGUUAUUGUCAUCACUUGAGCGGUUGUCGGCGUCGGCGUCGGCGUCGGCGUCGGCGUCUGCGUCGGCGUUGCCUGGUUAAGUUUUAUGUUUAGGUCAGCUUUUCUCCUAAACUAUCAAAGCUAUUGCUUUGAAACUUGGAAUACUUGUUCACCAUCAUAAGCUGACCCUGUAUAGCAAGAAACAUAACUCCAUCUUGCUUUUUGCAAGAUUUAUGGCCCCUUUUGUACUUAGAAAAUGUCAGAUUUCUUGGUUAAGUUUUAUGUUUAGGUCAACUUUUCUCCCAAACUGUCAAAGCUAUUGCUUUGAAACUUGGAAUACUUGUUCACCAUCAUAAGCUGACCCUGUACAGCAAGAAACAUAACUCCAUCUUGCUUUUUGCAAGAUUUAUUGCCCCUUUUGAACUUAGAAAAUCAGUUUUCUUGGUUAAGUUUUAUGUUUAGGUCAGCUUUUAUCCUAAACUAUCAAAGCUAUUGCUUUAAAACUUGCAACACUUGUUCACCAUCAUAAGUUGACCCUGUACAGCAAGAAACAUAACUCCAUCCUGCUUUUUUGCAAGAUUUAUGGCCCCUUUUGGACUUAGAAAAUAUCAGAUUUCUUGGUUAAGUUUUAUGUUUAGGUCAACUUUUUCUCUUAAACUAUUAAAGCUAUUGCUUUGAAACUUGCAACACUUGUUCACCAUCAUAAGCUGACCCUGUACAGCAAGCAGCGUAACUCCAUCCUGAUUUUUGCAAUAAUUAUUGCCCCUUUUGGACUUAGAAAAUCAUUUUCUUGGUUGAGUAUUAUGUUUAAGUCAACUUUUCUCAUAAACUAUCAAAGCUAUUGCUUUAAAACUUGCAACAGUUUUUCACCAUCAUAAGUGGACACUGUACAUCAAGAAACAUAACUCUAUCCUGCUUUUUGCAAGAAUGAUAGCCCUUUUUAGACUUAGAAAAUCAUGGGUAGGACAAUAUUUCUAUUACACAAAAAAAAAUCAGAUGAGCGUCAGCACCCGCAAGGCGGUGCUCUUGUUUGUACUUUUUAUUGCCUUUGAAACAUUAAGAAGUAAACAUCAAAUUUUGAUUUUCACGGGAAGAAUUUACCAAACUAACUGGUGAGACAUAUAUUAAAUCAGAACAAUGUUUUAUCUUUCAACAUCUGCUAUACAAAAUAUAUAUUCGCUGACAAAGAUUCACAUUUGCAUACAUGUUACGUUGAAAAUUGUCAAAUUGUAAAUGACACAUACGCGAACAUUAUUUAUCAUUUUGUUAGAAGUUCGUUUUGGGUUAUAUGUACAUACUACAUAGAUAAUAACCACAAUUAUGCAUUAACGUGUAACUAUUCCGCAUUAACAAAAAUGUUGACCUUUUAUUCUAAAAUCAUGUUUUUUGACACGUUGAAUGUUCUUAGGUUUCCGGAACCUAUACUAUCAUCAUGGAACCUACUAUCAUCAUGGAAACCUUUUGGAUUGAAGCAUCUGGUGCAUUGUCAUUCAAUAUUCUCCAUCAACCUAAAAUAACCAAAGACAAUCAAAAAUGAAUUUACUUGUUUAUGCGAUCUUUUGUUGUCAAAGUAUGUGCGCAGGUUGUGUAUUUCUUACGGCCAGUCUUUUUUUCUUAUGACCGAUACAUAAACUUGAAUGAUAUCUUAGUAUUGUUGUUUCCAAAUAGAGCAUGUCGGCAAUGAUAAAAGCUCUGCUAUAUUUUGAAAAUUCGCAAUACUUUGAAAGCUAUUUCAGAAUGAUUUUAUGUUGCAAUAUAAGGUUUCAACAAAGUUUCAAAUGUAUAAGAAGUUAAGAAGGACAACUUUUUUUCAAAACAAAAUUAACCAAGUUAACGCGAAAUGGCAUAUGCACAUAUAUUGCGGGCUAGUAGAUACUCCAAUGUUAACAAUUCGCGAUACUCAACAAUUUAGAUAAAGAAAACAUACAUUUUAGUGAAAGACAUUUGUUUGUUGUUUUUUUUUUUUGUUGUUGUAUUUUUCAUUUAAGACAUAUGUUUUGUAGUGUACAAGGGUAGUUUCAUACUUUCAUAUCUAGACAGGUCGAGUGUUUAAAGAAACAACCGUGACGAAGUAGUUUUCAAAUACACGUGUUUUAUUUUUCUCUACAAAAAACGAAGACAUUUCGCACGAGUUCCUGUGGAGGUUAUAGCUUCAUGCAGUACGUUCUUACAGGCACUCAGACAUAACAAUAGUUGGCACUGAUCUCAUAUCUAUCAAUCAUAUAUUAUAAUGUUGUUGCAGUUGUUUUUACGUUGGAAAAUACAAAAAAAGGCUGUUUUCAGAGAAUUAUUCAAAACAAAACUUGACUUCAAUGUAUAAGUUUACCGCGUUAUUUUGAUAUUGCUAUUGUAGAAUAUCAUUAAAUGAGUGUGUAACGUUUUAUCGUACAAAUUGGAAACUAAGAAAAACAAUAACAAUGACCUUACAUUCCAAGAUUCGGCAUAGGAAAAGUUUUUCUAGUAUUAUCAUUGUGAAAACGAGCCGCCUGCUAAACGUGCAAACAUACGUUUUCAUUUCAUCAAAAGUUUAUGGUUAGACUAAAUUUUCAGAUAACACUGAUAUUCCCCCAUAAUUUUGCAUUUUUGAUUUUUUCCCCUUUUGUUUUUGCUUUUACUGCGAAAACCAAAUAUGAGCUUGCUCUAUGUUUAGAAACAAGACAACUGUUUACAUUUCAUGUACAUUGAUUUUAUAACAUAAAAUCAGUCGACAAUUAUCUUAAGGUUCAUUUUCCAAUGCAUCAACAAUUUUGAACACGAUAAAAUUGACAGUUUUAUUUCCAUCUUACACAUUAAUUUAAUAUAAGUAUAAAUGCAUGCAGGACAUUGAACAAAACUAUAAAUGUUAAAUAUACUCAAUGAUAAAUUAUGUAUAAACAUAUUUCAUGGGGAUUUAAAAACAAAUGACCUUUUUCCAUAAAACAAAUCCAAUUGUUCAUUCCACUUGAUACAGAAGUUCCGCCUUUAUCACAAUUAUCGUAAAAAUCAGUUUUUCUGUAAUAUGUUUUCGUACAAUUGCCAUAAAUAUAUACUAUGUUCACAUACAAUUUAUUUUAUUAGGAUAUUUUAAUAAAACGUAAUAAUUAAAAUAUCCUGAGUUCAUAAAACUUAUGUAUCAGUCUAAAAUGUUAUAGAUUCUAGCAUCAAGGUAAUUGUGGCAUAUUUGUAAUGUUUUAUAUAACUGUUAUUGCUUUUGAAAUGUUAAAUGUUUGGUGGUAUCUAACAAACAUCACACUACAUUUUCACAAGUAGCAUUAACCAAUGUAACAGGUGAGAGAUUACAUAAACAACAGAUGUGAAACAUAUUUGUAAACUGUAAAAUGUUUCGGCGUACAAUAAAUAAACGCUGACAAAGAUGUAUAUUUGAAAACAUGUUUCGUUGAAAAUAAUGAGUUUUUAAAUAUGUAAGUGAGCAUUUUUUAUCAUAUAUUGUGGUUGGGUGAUUUCUAUAAAUGAGUAACAUUUUCUGAAUUUAAGUAAUUAAUGCCCUCGCGUUGUUUAUCGUUUGAUUUUCCACAGUUAAGAUGUGCAGGAUUUGAUCAUAACCCUUCAAGCAUCUGAACGAUAAAAAAGUCAUGGAACAUCAGACGAUUAACCAUCAGAUGGUCUUGUUUACUUUCACUCUAAGUGCUCAUUAAACAUUAUGAUAGUUAUGCUUAAUUUCAGUCAAUCGAGUAGUAAUGAACCUGACGUCAUGUGGCUAUUUGACUUCAAAAUUGAUGUUAUAAUGUUCAUAUCGAUCAGCGCGUCAAUCGUUGUUUAUCGCGGAAUACACAAUGUCUGACCUCCACAAACACGCCAUGUUAGAACUGUAGAUACGUAAGCAGAACAGAGAGAACUAAACUUUAUCUUACACUUGAGCAUUAUGCUCCUGGGCCAUAUAACAUGUACAAUCCAACCAAUGUCAACAAUAUAUAUAUUUAUUAAAUAAUAUAUUUUAAACAAUCAAAGUAUUAUAUUAAUAUGUAUGAUGAAACAAAAAUAGUGUGUAGACAACCUAUAACGUAGUAAAGACGGUAUAAACGUACAAGAAUGCCUCAUAUAUAACUGUGAGCUCAAGUAUGGUUUUCAUAAAUAAAGUUUGAUAUAUACAUUGCAUAUACUAAUACAGUGAAAGUUGCACACAUACACAAUAUGCAGGAUGAAGUAAAGAUUCGUAAAAAAAGUACGAGGAAAAUGUACACAGUUACAUUUUUGUUAAUCAGUUUAACUAUCGAUAUAAUAUAUUUAUACAUUAUUAUCAAAAACAUCUUAGACCGUAUGCAUUAAAGUGUUAUAUCUGUCAUAUGAUGUUGUAACAACUUGAAGACCGACCCAUUUGUUAUUUAUUUGUGUCUGUAUAAUUGUUAUAUAGUUAUGUAAAUAUUGAAUGAGCAAUAAAAUAUGUUUAAACCAAUUUAUUUCUUAAAUGAAAAGCAGUUUUGGACUCGCUUCCUUUUGGAUUACCGCCACCAAUAAAGUAACACCGUUGAAUGUUUACACUCUAUAAUGGUUUUACACAAACGACAUAUAAGUUUCUGUGUUCGACCUCUAAUUAGUUACAUAAAAAUCUUCAUCACUUCCUUCUAUUUCUAGAAUGUGCACCCCUGUGGUCUACUGAAAUAACUCUAUUGUUCAGAAACGCUUUAUUGUCAAUGAACUGAAUAAUUUGUCUGCGGAGAAGCCGCAGACUGUAAAUUAUUCUUGAGAUGUGAUUAUACGUAUAGUUAUAACAUAGUUAGGAAAGUGCGUUCUAAAUGUGUAAAAGUGAUCAAUAUUUGUAGGAUACUUAUGUUGGAUGAGACUAAACUAUUUAGAGGUUAGAGUGUUUUUUACUGUUUUAAUAGACGCACUGAACUGUAUGAAAUUAUAAGAAUGAAAUGAAGAAACAUAAUCCUUAUGAUCUCUUUUCUUUAGGAGUCAUAUAAAGCGUCUUGAAAUUUUACUACAAUUCCAUGAGAAAAAUUAAUAUUUUGUUAAUUAGCUUUCAUAGCAAUAUAGAUGGGAUCUUAAUUGACAGUUUAUCUGGAAUACAUACCAGUUCUUUUUUACAAUGACAUUUUAUGCAUCAAAUGCACGCAUGCUGCACAUGCGGUGCUUUUAUAAGGUAUAAAUGCUAGAUCCGUUGAAUACUUGUGACGUGACAAGAUAGAAAAUUUAUAACACGAUGAGAAGAUAUUUUCAUGUUUUAUGGAUUUUAUGUCUGAUGCAACUGAUAUGCACGUGCCAGGCAAGGAAACAUCGCAAAAAAGCACUAGACAAAAUGCAAAAAUCACAUACAAAAGAAGAUAAACUAUCAGCACGUGAUUCCAUGUCUUUAAAUGAUGUACUGCACGAAAUAUGUCUGCCUUCUGGAUCUAACAGAUUGGUUUACAGAUACCAAAAUGAUUCCCAUAUAUUCAUAGGAUUUGAUGACGUAAAACAGGAUACAGUCUAUUCAAUGACAUGGGAAAUUAACGCAGGUAAUCCAGAGGCGUUAACUAGCAAUAACGGGAAUAGGUUCCAGGCGCUCCCUGCAUCCCAGGUCCGGAAACACGUGAAAACUGAGCAUUUAUUGGCGGCAGCUGAUGAAAAGUUGCAGGACAAAUUCCGUGAGCGUAUUUCAACGUGCAGUCAGUCAAGGAUUACCUCAAGGGCGUGCGUAAUACAGUCGUUUGCUGUUCUGGCAAGGAAGAUGAAGGAAGUUACUUUUGGAGAGACUUGUAAUACAUAAUACUACAUACAAACGCACACGCUUCAGACCUGUGAUUCCAAGCGGAUAUAUGGAGAUAUUUCGGAAUUUGAAAUUUUUAUAAUACUGGUUUUUCGCUGUGCUGUAUUGAAAUAUAAGUGUAAAGUAUGAAAAUAUUUUACGAUACAUUCAAGACAAAUGAUACAUUUGCAUGCAACUGAUUAAAGUGUUUACUACUUUUCAUAUACACAAUGUACAAGUUUAACAUUAACAUAAUUGUCGUAUGAAACUUUCCUAGAAACUACAGUCGUCUCUUUCUCUGUAGUCUUCAUUUUCUUAGCAGUGCAAUAAAUAAGUACGCUGUUUACAGAUAA